UUUGCACCAAUUUGUAAGUCGCUCUGGAUAAGAGCGUCUGCUAAAUUACGUAAA
rfam:Salmo salar isolate Sally breed double haploid chromosome ssa13, whole genome shotgun sequence.